GCUGGCGUAGCACAGUGGUAGUGCAGCUGAUUCGUAAUCAGCAGGUCGGGGGUUCGAGUCCCUUCGCCAGCACCA
rnacentral:tRNA from 1 species